GGGUGCGAGCUCGCUACUCCUGUUCUGUGUAUGGCACUGGUAGAAUUCACUGUGCAACCCCGCGGUCAGUGAAUUACCAUAGGGCCAUAAACAGAGCAGAGAAAGACCCGCGAGCCCCGC
rnacentral:pre_miRNA from 7 species